UGGAUCCAGACUUUGAUUAUGGCUCAGGACGAACGCUGGCGGCGUGCUUAACACAUGCAAGUCGAACGAAGCUUGAUUUAUGAUUUCUUCGGAAUGAAUAAUGAUAUGACUGAGUGGCGGACGGGUGAGUAACGCGUGAGCAACCUGCCCUUCGGAGGGGGAUAGCGUCUGGAAACGGACGGUAAUACCGCAUAAAGUGUCUUGACCGCAUGAUCGGGAUACAAAACUGAGGUGCCGAAGGAUGGGCUCGCGUCGGAUUAGAUAGUUGGUGGGGUAACGGCCUACCAAGUCGACGAUCCAUAGCCGGACUGAGAGGUUGAACGGCCACAUUGGGACUGAGACACGGCCCAGACUCCUACGGGAGGCAGCAGUGGGGAAUAUUGCACAAUGGGGGAAACCCUGAUGCAGCAACGCCGCGUGAAGGAAGACGGUUUUCGGAUUGUAAACUUCUGUUCUUAGUGAAGAAUAAUGACGGUAGCUAAGGAGCAAGCCACGGCUAACUACGUGCCAGCAGCCGCGGUAAUACGUAGGUGGCAAGCGUUGUCCGGAAUUACUGGGUGUAAAGGGAGCGCAGGCGGGAAGCCAAGUCAGCUGUGAAAACUACAGGCUUAACUUGUAGACUGCAGUUGAAACUGGUUUUCUUGAGUGAAGUAGAGGUUGGCGGAAUUCCGAGUGUAGCGGUGAAAUGCGUAGAUAUUCGGAGGAACACCGGUGGCGAAGGCGGCCAACUGGGCUUUAACUGACGCUGAGGCUCGAAAGUGUGGGGAGCAAACAGGAUUAGAUACCCUGGUAGUCCACACUGUAAACGAUGAUUGCUAGGUGUGGGGGGUUCUGACCCCUUCCGUGCCGCAGCUAACGCAAUAAGCAAUCCACCUGGGGAGUACGACCGCAAGGUUGCAACUCAAAGGAAUUGACGGA
rnacentral:rRNA from 1 species